rnacentral:lncRNA from 1 species
AAAAAAUUACACAGAGAACCAAAAGUUGGAGAUUAUGUUUUCGUUUAAAUUUGAGAGAAAAAAAGGGAAACGGAAUUUUUAUAUUGCCAAUUUGACUAUGGACGUAAAUAAAGAUACAGAUUUUAAAGGAAAUUUCCUAAGAAGUAUAAAAACAGAGAAAUUUUUCGUAUCCAAUAUCCCCGAUACGGCGUCAAUAUCCAAAAGCUAUAUUAAAACGAUACUACCUGAGCCAACAGUUGGUGCGCAAACAAAACGCCGAAAUGCUAAUUUAUGUUUUGGAGAAAACUUCCAGAGUUUAACUGUUCAAUAACUUUUUAUAUAUAUUUCCACUCUGAGCAUAUUCUUUUCUCUUUAAUUUAUAAUUCGUUUUAAUUGUCUUCAUUCCUCGUAUGACUAAUGUUUACUAAGAAUAAAACCCAUUCAUACUUAACUGUUCUUUAGUGGCCGGAUUGGCCGCGUGGAAACGCUUCGGCUUUCCACUCUGGAGGAUCCGGGUUUGACUCUCGGGUCCCACCC